AGCUAGCUCCGCUGCUCAGGUUGUUGAACUCGUCAUCGUCCGAGCUGGAGUCGGACUCCGAAUCCGGCGGUUCGGUUCGGAGAAGUCGGUGACCGGACCCCUUUUUGGUCUUCUUUCUCUUGCUGUCCCCGAGUCCGAUCAAGGCAUUCAGCUCCUUCCUCUUCUUCAUCUUCUUCUGAGGGGUCAGCGAACCCGCCGAGCCCGAUUUAAACCCGACUAAAUCCAAAGUUUUGUCCAGUUUGAUGGAUGUUGUUGUUUAUGUAGCAGCUAAGCUAGCUAACUAUUCAAUUGCUAGCUUUAAUUUCAACCACGCAACGUUGCUAACGGAUAUAAACACAUCGGGUUUUGCCUGUUGGUUUCCUUGUUGAUUUACAACGAAAACAAACAAAUGUUCAACAGCUGAUCGGCAUUACUUCACUUUCCCAAAAAAGCUUCUCCAAAACAACUUCGACUAGCUGCCGGGUCACAUAGCUAGCUACGUUAGCUGACUAGGCUAGCAUCUGACACCUUGCUAACGGUAGCUAGCUAACAGGCUGGAUAUCGUUACUGUGCUAGCUAUCACAUCGUCUCAGCGAGUUUUGAAAAUACGUGCCUCGACAUCGCUCAUUUUGGAAACACUACAAAAUGUCUUUAAGUAGACAAAUAAAACCUGUCAAUCGUAAAAUCUAAGUAUGCGGCACUGUAUAUUUCCAGCGAUCUGUCUGUAUUGUUUGGGCAGGGCGUCCAAGUAACCUCACAGCUGAUUGGUGCAACGGGCAGCUAAAACUUCCUGUAUUCUUUCUGGCAGGGAGCGACACAGAGCACAACACCGUUCACACCGGACAACUGUUUACAUCGAUGCUGCAGAAAGUCAAGAACAAAUAUAAGGGUCUGGCAGAAAUCCAGCUGACCCGGAGUGCCAUUGGGCUGACCCAGCAAGAUACACGGGCUAAGUCGAAGCAGGGUCUCUGCAGACUGGACUUUAGCUCUUUUUCAAUGAAAAUGGACUCCCACUGGCCUGCUUUUGGCUUUGCAAAUAUGUUCCUUUAUUUGCUUUGCCCCCCAUACUACCACACCACAAUACUAAUAAUAAUGACCCUGAAUGAAAAUCUCCACACUGGACCAAUUUACAAACUCGCAAAGGAACAUCUCAGUAUGAGUUUGGUUAUUGAGUUGCAAGAGAUGAGGUCUGCUGCUGAUGCUUUAUUAUCCUCAGAAAAUAAUUUCUCAAGGCAAUGCUUGUCAGUUCACAAGAAUAGCAUGAUGCCACCCACACAAAUACAAAGCUAAUCUGUCUGCAAGACAGAUGCGCCUUCCCUUUUAUUUAAGUGCAUUAAACUGGGAUGCAGCUACUGUAUUGUUUUGAAUCCAGCAGCGGCAUGUAGGUAGCAGAGCAAAAUUCAAUCAGUAGCUCUCUCUACUAAGAACACCUGGUGAGGGGACAAGCAUCACGCUGAGGGCCUGCGCAGACCCCCGCCAGCAAGAGGCUGCAAAUCAAAGCAUCAGAGGUGUUUCAUCUCUUCGCUGGAGUCUCAGUUUUUCAUCUGGGGUUAAGACUGAAAGGCUGACACUUAAACUUAUGGCUCCUCACAUCUACAGCCACAAGGAGUGAUUCCUGCAACUCUCGGACAGGGUGGAAACUGCCUCGGGUGCUGACUGAGAAUGUAAAUAGUGGUGGUGGCAUAAUAGAAAAUACUGAAUAGAAUUGCCUGCUAAUUGAAGUCUUUCGUCUGACAUGGCAGACUGUGUGAAUACAGAUUACAAGCAGUUGGAAGCAGGGCUGCUGUUAGAAUACAAAUUUCUCUUUUUUCUCUGUUUUUUAUUUAGAACAUUUUGACCAUUAUGUUGGAUGGCUCAACAAGUAGACAUGAAAAUUUCAUCAUGAAAUAUAUGGUGGCUGACCGAUGAAAUGGGACCCACAUGGUAUUGAGUGACACACUCUUGAACUUUUGAACUUCAUCUCUGACAGCCGCAGACUGAUGCUUUGUAUGGAGACAAACGCAUCAUUUACAGAAAAGCAUAAGAUUUGUUUUUAUUUCAUAAGCUUUCAAUGUUUAUUUUUAAUCCUUUUUUUCUUUCAUUAAAGGCCCGCAAAAUGUUUUCUUAAUAAUCUUCUUACUAUGAGGAAUGGGGACUUACACAAACACACAAAUUUGUCCCAAAGUUAGAAUCGUUUUGUUUCUGUCUGUGCUGUUUUGUCUGUAGCCUGGUUCCAGACCUCUGAAUAACUGAUCUCACCUCUGAUUCGUUUAGCAAUUCUAAUAAGUAUAGUAUAAAGAGCCUAAGUCAUGACGUCACAUCUACUUUUCAUAUUUUAUGAUUACGACACAUUUGCCAUCAUCUAUAGCAGUUGCAAUAAGUAAUUGAAACCUUCAUGAUUUUAACUUAAACAUUUACUUUGUGAUCACGG